AUGUCUAAUGUAAGUGGAAGGUACACACCAGAAGUGGCUGCAAAAAAUGUGGAUGAAGGGUCCGCGACCUCCUAUGUGGUGACUCAGGCACUCUCGGUGUCGGUGCCUCUGGGACAGACGGCCUCGAUCACAUGCUCUGGAGAAAAGCUCUCAGAGGAAUAUGUUCACUGGUACCAGCAGAAGCCAGGCCAGGCCCCUUUGCUGGUCAUCUAUAGGGAUAGCAAUCGGCCCUCAGGCAUCCCUGACCGAUUCUCCGGCUCCAACUCAGGGAACACAGCCACCCUGACCAUCAGCGGGGCUCAGGCUGGGGACGAGGCUGAGUAUUACUGUCAUGUGUGGGACGGCAGCUUUGCUCACAGUGACACAGGCAGAAGGGGAA